CAAAGGGACGAUGGACGGGGCCAUGUACCGUCAAAUCUUGGUACCAAGAGUCAGGUCCCUACAUCCCUAACAAGGGUUUCCAUGAGGGUAAGGGGACUCGGGGGAGGCCCCCUCCACUCAACCCCUCUGCGGAGGAACUACCCCAGUUUGUACAAAAACUGGGCCCUGCACCUCCCCCUGGUAGCGCUGCCUCUAUACCUGACUGCAAAGAAGAAUGUAGAAGAAUUCAUCCAUCAAGUACAUAGGGACCACUGUCAUCAGUGUGCUCCUUCUCAUAUUGGUUGCUGGGAUCUUGCUUGGAUACUACUUGUCCUCCAGAUGUGCGCGUGGGGUGGCAUGUGGCGAUGGUCGCUGUGUCAGCCAGUCUCAGUGGUGUGAUGGGUGAGGCUAUGUGGCUCCAGUUUUCUUCUGCACGCCUAUUCGUCUACCAGUGGAUCGUGGAGGACAGUGUGCUCAGAUGGAUUGGCUGAUCACCAUGGGAAGGCAGCCUGUCAGCAUUUAGGAUACAGCAGUAAAACCUGUCCCAGUGUUAAGGGGGUAACCCUGAAGUGCAUAGACUGUGGUACCAGAGUAAUCGUGGGAGCCCAGGAGGCCAGUUUGGGGCCAUGGCAAGUCAGCCUCUAAGUCGACGGCUUUCAUAUCUGUGGCGGUUCUAUCAUCACCCCCUACUGGAUCGUGACGGCAGCACACUGCGUAGUGGAGUUAUGUCCAUAGACAUACAUACUGUUCAGUAUAUGCACUAUAUUAUUGAAAUAUACUGUAUAUCAUUGGGUAUGUCCAGCACAGUCCACUUCUGAGCUUAUUUAUUGAAUCUGUGGCAUCCUGGUUAAAUUGACUAGUUUGUCAGUUGUCUUUAAUUUCAGUUGCUCUUAUCCUAAAGACUGGACAGUACAU